CCUACGGGAGGCAGCAGUAGGGAAUAUUGCUCAAUGGGGGAAACCCUGAAGCAGCCACGCCGCGUGGAGGAUGAAGGUUUUAGGAUUGUAAAAUCCUUUUGUUCGAGGCGUUCCUGCCGGUCUCUAACGAAUAAGCACCGUAGAACUCCGUGCCAGCAGCCGCGGUAAUACGGAGGGUGCAAGCGUUACACGGCCUCACCGGGCGUACAGCGCGCGUCGACGGGAUAGCAAGUCCGUUGUGAAAUCCUCUGGCUUAACCAUAGAACUGCAUUUGACACUGUCAUUCUAGAGUAUGGGAGAGGUAGGUGGAAUUCGUGGUGUAGGGGUAAAAUGCGUAGAGAUCAAGAGGAAUACUCAUUGCGAAGGCGACCUGCUAGAACGUAACUGACGUUGAUGCGCGAAAGCGUGGGGAGCAAACAGGAUUAGAUACCCCGGUAGUC
rnacentral:rRNA from 1 species